UACGGGGGGAGCAAGCGUUGUUCGGAUUUACUGGGCGUAAAGGGCGCGUAGGCGGUCAGCACAAGUCAGUUGUGAAAUCUCCGGGCUUAACUCGGAAAGGUCAACUGAUACUGUGCGACUAGAGUGCAGAAGGGGCGACUGGAAUUCUCGGUGUAGCGGUGAAAUGCGUAGAUAUCGAGAGGAACACCUGCGGCGAAGGCGGGUUGCUGGGCUGACACUGACGCUGAGGCGCGAAAGCCAGGGGAGCGAACGGG
rnacentral:rRNA from 1 species